rnacentral:rRNA from 1 species
GAUGAACGCUGGCGGCGUGCUUAACACAUGCAAGUCGAGCGAAGCAGUUUAAAUGAGACUUCGGUGGAUUUUAAACUGACUGAGCGGGCGUACGGGUGAAGGUACGCGUAGUAGUAACCUGCCUCACACAGGGGGAUAACAGUUAGAAAUGACUGCUAAUACCGCAUAAGCGCACGGCAUCGCAUGAUGCAGUGUGAAAAACUCCGGUGGUGUGAGAUGGAUCCGCGUCUGAUUAGGUAGUUGGUGGGGUAACGGCCCACCAAGCCGACGAUCAGUAGCCGACCUGAGAGGGUGACCGGCCACAUUGGGACUGAGACACGGCCCAA